UGUUUCCACCAUACUGAAGGCCUUGGCAGAAGAAGUCGAAGCAGAGGAAGGAGGCUGUUGGUGAAAAAAGUCUCUCCAGUCAUUCAAUUCUGAACAAAAAAUAAUUUAUAAUAUGGGAAAAUGUGAACAGUAAUCCAGAUGAGGCUUGAAAACACCUUCUCUGGUGUUAUGAGAAUUUGACUAUUUCCACUGGAAAUGCCUCGCCUCAUAUAUUCCAGGAUCACUUCUGGCUUCUCAUGGUUGUAUCAUGUUGGCAAUACAGUCUUUCCAAAAACAGAUUGUCAUGACACACAACUGAAUUGAGAACAUUGAAAGGGAAUUUCCUGCUUUUCUACUUUGGCCGACUUCAAGCAAAUAUAAUUAUCUAUACAAAGCUGUCUGCAUACCAUUAAAAAAUAUGAGAGACUUCAAAA
rnacentral:lncRNA from 1 species